CCAAUAGCGUAUAUUAAAGUUGUUGCAGUUAAAAAGCUCGUAGUUGAAUUUCGGGAUCAAUAUGUUGGUCGUGCCUUGGUACGUACUGGCAUUAUUGGUUUCUACCUUCUGAAGAACCUCGAUGUCAUUAAUUUGGUGUCUUGGGGAAUCAGGACUGUUACUUUGAAAAAAUUAGAGUGUUUAAAGCAGGCUCGCGCUUGAAUACAUUAGCAUGGAAUAAUGAAAUAGGACGUUUGAUUCUAUUUUGUUGGUUUCUAGGAUCGACGUAAUGAUUAAUAGGGAUAGUUGGGGGCAUUAGUAUUCAAUUGUCAGAGGUGAAAUUCUUGGAUUUAUUGAAGACUAACUACUGCGAAAGCAUUUGCCAAGGAUGUUUUCAUUAAUCAAGAACGAAAGUUAGGGGAUCGAAGACGAUCAGAUACCGUCGUAGUCUUAACCAUAAACUAUGCCGACUAGGGAUCGGAUGAUGUUAAUUUUAAUGACUCAUUCGGCGCCUUACG
rnacentral:rRNA from 1 species